AGGACGAAGAGGAGAAAAUUUAACACAAUUUUGUUGCACAGUUUUCAGCAUUGUGAUAGUUUUACUGUUGGUGAUUUCUGGUGUAGUUGCAUUUAUUUGUUGGAGACUCAAAGGAAGAAGAAGUGGAGAGAACAUUAUUACUGAAGGACAUCCAGAUCGUAAAGGAAAUCAUAAAGAUCAGACUGUUCCUGAUGUUUCUUACUCUACUGUAUCCCACACGAACACAGCUGGAGAAGCACGGGUCCAGAUCAACGAUGGAGAGAAAACUGAAUAUACCAGAAUUAUAACAAACUAAUCCACAGUAAAUAUAUCGAAUAAUGCUGAAUAUUUACAGUAUAUUACAUACAGACAGUGGUAAGGAUUUACAAUCUAUAUAUGUUUCACCAUAAAUAGGAAAUUGGACCAUAAUUGGGUGCUGGAUGCCGAAUAUAAUUCUGAAAACUAUAUUUUGUCAUUUUCUAACUUUUGUGUAUCAUUCUUAUCUCGCAUUUUAUAUACGGCCGCUUUAGAAGGCUUUUAUCAUCCCAAUGUUGCUUUGUAAGAUGACCGCUGUAAACAUUCUUGCUUGUGACUGGACUAAAUGUGUGUGAAACACACACACACAUACACACACACACACACACACACACACACACACACACACACACACACACACACACACACACACACACACACAAAACAGCCUCGAUUUUAUAGCUGCAAUAAUUAAUACUGCCCACCAGGCGUCACUGUUCCAGCAUUAAAAUUCCACUGUGAAAUUCUUAAAAAUCCUAUUUACAUCCACAGCGAUAUCGAGCUUUAUGUAAAUGUAAGAUUUGUAUUUUUUUUUUUUUUACGAAAAUGUAAUCAGUUCAAUUUCAUUAACUAGGAGAGAAGAAAUUUGUCAAGAUUUUUCUUUCUGCUUGCUGUAAAUAAUAGCAUUUAUAAAAUAAACACCAAAUUAUUUUUUUUUAUUAUAAUUUUUUUUAUUUCAUGAUUUUAUUUUUUUUACUUUUAUAAAGCUUUUAAUAAAAAACAGAGCAUCAGCUUUCAGUGUUUCAUAAAGAAAUGAUGGAGUUUGUUUAUUACAUGGAAGCUCACUACAUUUCUAAAUCAUUAGAGAUAUUUUAAAAAGUGUAAUAUUUUUGCAGCAAAAAUGUUUCAUCUCUGAGAAUAAUAAAAAAGAUUUAUACAUCUGAUAAA